rnacentral:lncRNA from 1 species
AUUGUAUUUACAUAAUCGAUUAUGUGACUUUAACGUUCAAAAAACUAGUCGUUGGAAGGCAACGGAUAUGGGAUAAUCGAUUAUUGAAAUAUGAUAAUCGAUUAUCUUACUUCUCUGGAAUUUCCAGCAAAGCUGGAAUUUUCCUAGAAUAAUCGGUUAUUGCAAUGAGCAUAAUCGAUUAUUUGGAGAAUUGCAUAAUCGAUUAUUGCCUAUUGCAUAAUCGAUUAUUGAGGUUCUCUGGAAUUUCCAGCUUUGCUGGAAAUUUCAGGAUAAUCGAUUAUCAGUUUGGAUAAUC